GAGCGGUAACACAGAGAGCUUGCUCUCGGGUGACGAGCGGCGGACGGGUGAGUAAUGUCUGGGAAACUGCCUGAUGGAGGGGGAUAACUACUGGAAACGGUAGCUAAUACCGCAUAACGUCGCAAGACCAAAGAGGGGGACCUUCGGGCCUCUUGCCAUCAGAUGUGCCCAGAUGGGAUUAGCUAGUAGGUGAGGUAAUGGCUCACCAAGGCGACGAUCCGUAACUGGUCUGAGAGGAUGAUCAGUCACACUGGAACUGAGACACGGUCCAGACUCCUACGGGAGGCAGCAGUGGGGAAUAUUGGACAAUGGGCGAAAGCCUGAUCCAGCCAUGCCGCGUGUGUGAAGAAGGUCUUCGGAUUGUAAAGCACUUUAAGUUGGGAGGAAGGGUUGUAGAUUAAUACUCUGCAAUUUUGACGUUACCGACAGAAUAAGCACCGGCUAACUCUGUGCCAGCAGCCGCGGUAAUACAGAGGGUGCAAGCGUUAAUCGGAAUUACUGGGCGUAAAGCGCACGCAGGCGGUCUGUCAAGUCGGAUGUGAAAUCCCCGGGCUCAACCUGGGAACUGCAUUCAAAACUGACUGACUAGAGUGUGGUAGAGGGUGGUGGAAUUUCCUGUGUAGCGGUGAAAUGCGUAGAUAUAGGAAGGAACACCAGUGGCGAAGGCGACCACCUGGACUGAUACUGACACUGAGGUGCGAAAGCGUGGGGAGCAAACAGGAUUAGAUACCCUGGUAGUCCACGCCGUAAACGAUGUCAACUAGCCGUUGGGAGCCUUGAGCUCUUAGUGGCGCAGCUAACGCAUUAAGUUGACCGCCUGGGGAGUACGGCCGCAAGGUUAAAACUCAAAUGAAUUGACGGGGGCCCGCACAAGCGGUGGAGCAUGUGGUUUAAUUCGAUGCAACGCGAAGAACCUUACCUACUCUUGACAUCCAGAGAACUUAGCAGAGAUGCUUUGGUGCCUUCGGGAACUCUGAGACAGGUGCUGCAUGGCUGUCGUCAGCUCGUGUUGUGAAAUGUU
rnacentral:rRNA from 1 species